rfam:Schistosoma mattheei strain Denwood, Zambia genome assembly, scaffold: SMTD_scaffold0016672
GCACUGCUGAGGAGUCCCACAACAGGACGAAACGGCCGUCCAGUUC